ACAUCCUGAGUCUCUCUCUUCCCCACCCCACUGCUCUGUCUACUAAAAUUUUCCAUGUGACAGGAUGUGAGAAAAACGUUGUAGACAGAGCAGUGGGGUGGGGAAGAGAGAGACUCAGGAUG
rnacentral:pre_miRNA from 1 species